rnacentral:tRNA from 1 species
GGAGAGGUGGCCGAGUGGUUGAAGGCGCUGGUCUCGAAAACCAGUAUACCUUAAGUGGUAUCGUGGGUUCGAAUCCCACCCUCUCCGCCA